GAUCCUGCCGGACCCUACUGCUAUCGGGUUGGGACUAAGACAUGUUAGUCGAGCGACUCUAAGCCACGGUAGAGACGCGGCAUACGGCUCAGUAACACGUGGCUAACCUACCUUCAGGACGGAGACAACCCCGGGAAACUGGGGCUAAUCCCCGAUAGGUGAAGACGCCUGGAAUGACUCUUCACUCAAAGGGUGUUGAGAGCAUGCUUUUCAACGUCGCCUGAAGAUGGGGCCGCGACCGAUCAGGCAGUUGGCGAGGUAAAGGCUCACCAAACCAAUAACCGGUACGGGCCGUGAGAGCGGGAGCCCGGAGAUGGGCACUGAGACAAGGGCCCAGGCSCUACGGGGCGCAGCAGUUACGAAAACUCCACAAUGCACGAAAGUGCGAUGGGGCUAACCCGAGUGCCGUCCGCUGAGGAUGGCUUUUCUUUGCUGUAAGGAGGCAGAGGAAUAAGGAGAGGGCAAGACUGGUGUCAGCCGCCGCGGUAAUACCAGCUCUCCGAGUGGUAGGGACGAUUAUUGGGCUUAAAGCGUCCGUAGCCGGCUUGGCAAGUCUCUCGUUAAAUCCAACAMCYCCAAUUGUUGGACUGCAAGAGAUACUGUCAGGCUAGGAGACGGAAGAGGCCGACGGUAUUCUCGGGGUAGGGGUGAAAUCCUAUAAUCCCGGGAGGACCACCAGUGGCGAAGGCUGUCGGCUAGAACGCGCUCGACGGUGAGGGACGAAAGCUGGGGGAGCGAACCGGAUUAGAUACCCGGGUAGUCCCAGCUGUAAACGAUGCGGGCUAGGUGUUGGGGUGGCUACGAGCCACUUCAGUGCCGCAGCGAAGGCAUUAAGCCCGCCGCCUGGGGAGUACGGCCGCAAGGCUGAAACUUAAAGGAAUUGGCGGGGGAGCACCACCAGGGGUGAAGCUUGAC
rnacentral:rRNA from 1 species